AUGCCUCCGAGACUCUCACUCUCCCCUCUGCUCUAAAACCUUUGCGUUCAUCUAAUUCUGGUUAGAAAUGGCGACAAUCUCAUCACUUUUCUCAUCACCCAAUCUCCUUCACCACCCAAAAAAACCCAUCAACGCCUCACCGAAGCUGUCCCUCCAAAUCCUGAAAGCGACACCGUUUCAGGGCUCUUAUCUGAAGCUGACCUCCAGAGACUCGCAGAGGCUGUAUGCUGUUGCCGAAGAAGUCGCCGCCGACCCGUCUUCCAAGGCCGCCAUGAGAGUCUACAUCGGCAACAUUCCCAGGACUGUGGAUAAUGCCGAGCUUACCAAAAUUGUUGAAGAACAUGGUGCUGUUGAGAAGGCUGAGGUGAUGUAUGAUAAGUACUCCGGAAGAAGUCGCCGGUUUGCAUUUGUUACAGCAAAGACUGUUGAAGAUGCAAAUACCAUAGUUGAGAAGUUGAAUGGAACUGAGGUUGGAGGACGCGAGAUCAAGGUAAACAUAACCGAGAAACCCCUUCUACAACCAGAUUUAUCACUUGUCCAGGCAGAAGAGUCCCAAUUUGUCGACAGCCCCCACAAAGUUUAUGUUGGAAAUCUUGGAAAGGGAGUAACUACAGAUACACUCCAAAAGCUUUUCGCUGAAAAAGCAAAAGUUCUUAGUGCAAAGGUCUCCCGGGUUCCAGGAACCUCAAAAUCUAGUGGAUUUGGGUUUGUCUCUUUCUCAUCAGAGGAGGAUGUAGAAGCUGCCAUCUCAUCUUUCAACAGCACUUCAGUCAUGGAUAUAGGUACGUGUAAAUGAAUCGAACAGUGAAACAGCAAUAUUGCAAAGUGUGCAAGUCCGCUGUAGAACCGUUCCCUGCAUACAUACACACAUAUAGUUUUUUGAAGGCCAAAGAAUUCGCGUCAACAAGGCAUAGUGAACUGGCAGAACAUUUUGGGUUUGGAGAGUUUGUAUUGUAUCUAUUGUAUCAAAAAUUGGGACAGACCAUUUCUAUGUAGAACAAAAGUCAAAAGUAUUUUCUCUUCUUAUGGUUCUGGCAUGAGGUUUUGUAGUCUAUCCUCGUAUAAGCCGACAGUUAAUAGAACACAUGAUCUGAAAUACUGGUGCCUUCAAGUUGAAGCUAUCAUUUGUGGUAGAAGCUGAUGUUAAUGAGCUAGUUAGAUUUGGUGCUGUCCAAGCUUCACUUUGACUGAAUUAAUUGUCUUGAUUCUAAAGCAUCACUUAUCAUCAUUUGUAGUCA